rnacentral:rRNA from 1 species
AUGGCCGCCGCACGCGACCUUGCCGGCAACCAGCCCGGAUCCACCCGCGUCUGCGUCGGGGAAGACGUCGCCUUGUCGGACGUCACAGGCGUCUACGACCGCGACGACUCCCUCAAGGAGAACACCAACCCUAAAUGCAUCAUCGUCAAGAACUGCCCUGGCCACAAGGCCGGCAACGGCGCGGCGCAGCGGUUCCCGGGCAACCUGAAGCCUACGGCGGCGCCCAUCAUCGGGAUCUCCGGAAACCUCGGCCAGGGGUGUGCCCGGCGGCACCGCCCACCUGCGAUGUUCCCAAAGAAUGCCAAGACCGGCGGCGGCGGGCGCAACCCGAAGCCGGCGGUGCCGGAGCCGGGGUCGCCCAAGGUGUCCUGCAUGGGGAAGGUUCUAUCUGGACGAGAGCGCGACCGCUGCCGGGAGCUAUCUGGACGAGAGCGCGACCGCUGCCGGGAGCUGAUCUCCCCGGAGAAGAUGAAGGGCGGCUGCUGCCCCUGGUUCGGUUUCCCGAUCCGUCGCAGCCGCUCGAGGAAGAGGAUGGACGCUUGGCGAGAUCUGGGCCGUUGUAGCGCGUGUAGGGCUGGUGAUGGUGAAUACUACUCGAAAACUUGCAGUAGAUGA